CCUACGGGUGGCAGCAGUGAGGAAUAUUGGUCAAUGUGCGAGAGCCUGAACCAGCCAAGUCGCGUGAAGGAUGACGGCCCUACGGGUUGUAAACUUCUUUUGUCAGGGAGCAAUUGAGUCCACGUGUGGGCUUAGCGAGAGUACCUUAAGAAAAAGCAUCGGCUAACACCGUGCCAGCAGCCGCGGUAAUACGGAGGCUGCGAGCGUUAUCCGGAUUUAUUGGGUUUAAAGGGUGCGUAGGCGGAAGAUCAAGUCAGCGGUAAAAAUUCGGGGCUCAACCCCGUCGUGCCGUUGAAACUGAUGUUCUGGAGGUGGCGAGAAGUAUGCGGAAUGCGUGGUGUAGCGGUGAAAUGCAGAGAUAUCACGCAGAACUCCGAUUGCGAAGGCAGCAUACCGGCGCGCAACUGACGCUCAUGCACGAAAGCGUGGGUAUCGAACAGGAUUAGAUACCCCUGUAGUC
rnacentral:rRNA from 1 species